rnacentral:lncRNA from 1 species
AAUUUUGUGAUUUUUGAAUUGUUUUAAUUGAUUUUUAAAUACUUCUGACUUUCAAAAAAUUCCCAAAAAUUUAUUCAAUGGUCCUUUGACCUUGUUUGACCUAUGAUAAAUCCCUUGACCAUUUCUUUGGUGAUUUGAAGGGAUUUUAGGUUUUUGACCUUUUAAAAUGUAUUUUCUUCAUUUUUAAAAAUUGAUUUAAA